rnacentral:rRNA from 1 species
AUCCUACGGGAGGCAGCAGUGGGGAAUAUUGCACAAUUGGGCGCAAGCCUGAUGCAGCCAUGCCGCGUGUAUGAAGAAGGCCUUCGGGUUGUAAAGUACUUUCAGCAGUGAGGAAGGUGGAUAUGUUAAUAGCAUAUUCAUUUGACGUUAGCUGCAGAAGAAGCACCGGCUAACUCCGUGCCAGCAGCCGCGGUAAUACGGAGGGUGCGAGCGUUAAUCGGAAUUACUGGGCGUAAAGCGCAUGCAGGUGGUUUGUUAAGUCAGAUGUGAAAGCCCGGGGCUCAACCUCGGAAUUGCAUUUGAAACUGGCAAACUAGAGUACUGUAGAGGGGGUAGAAUUUCAGGUGUAGCGGUGAAAUGCGUAGAGAUCUGAAGGAAUACCGGUGGCGAAGGCGGCCCCCUGGACAGAUACUGACACUCAGAUGCGAAAGCGUGGGGAGCAAACAGGAUUAGAUACCCUGGUAG